GCCGCAAGGUUGAAACUCAAAGGAAUUGACGGGAGCCCGCACAAGCAGUGGAGUAUGUGGUUUAAUUCGACGCAACGCGAAGAACCUUACCGGAGCUUGACAUCCCUCUGACAGCCGAGUAAUGUUGGUUUUCCUUCGGGACAGAGGAGACAGGUGGUGCAUGGUUGUCGUCAGCUCGUGUCGUGAGAUGUUGGGUUAAGUCCCGCAACGAGCGCAACCCUUACGGUCAGUUGCUACGAAAGAGCACUCUGGCCGGACUGCCGUUGACAAAACGGAGGAAGGUGGGGACGACGUCAAAUCAUCAUGCCCCUUACGCCCCGGGCUACACACGUACUACAAUGGCGCAAACAAAGGGAAGCGAAGCCGCGAGGCGGAGCGAAUCCCAAAAAAGGCGUCCCAGUUCGGAUUGCAGGCUGCAACCCGCCUGUAUGAAGUUGGAAUUGCUAGUAAUCGCGGAUCAGCAUGCCGCGGUGAAUACGUUCCCGGGCUUUGUACACACCGCCCGUCAAACCAUGAAAGUCGGGAACACCCGAAGUCUGUGAGCUGACCGCAAGGAGGCAGCAGCCGAAGGUGGGUUCGAUGAUUGGGGUUAAGUCGUAACAAGGUAGCCGUAUCGGAAGGUGCGGGUGGAUCA
rnacentral:rRNA from 1 species